rnacentral:misc_RNA from 1 species
GAGGCUGUUGCCCAUUGUAGAGAGACCUUGUCAAUUGCAGUGGAUUUGGCUCUACCCAUUUAUUAGGGGCUUUUGCCUGUUGCAGUAAAGAAAGGCUUCGGCCUAAGAUUGAAGGCACCAUUUAUGGUGUAAUAUUGUAAUAGUAAAUAUAUUUAGUUAUAUUUAAAGGAGACUGAGAGGGACUAACUAAUAUAUUUACUAUGGACAGUUUGAUAUAAUGUGGGUUCUCUUAGGUGUAAUUGGGUUGAUAGAUAGUAUAAUUUUGAGCUUGUAAUG